rnacentral:tRNA from 1 species
GCGCCCAUCGUUUAAUGGACAGGACACGGGAUUGCGGAUCCCGUAAUCGAGGUUCGAUUCCUCGUGGGCGCA